rnacentral:rRNA from 1 species
CCAUCAUUUAAAGAAAGCGUAAUAGCUCACUGGUCGAGUCGGCCUGCGCGGAAGAUGUAACGGGGCUAAACCAUGCACCGAAGCUGCGGCAGCGACGCUGAUGCGUUGUUGGGUAGGGGAGCGUUCUGUAAGCCUGUGAAGGUGUGCUGUGAGGCAUGCUGGAGGUAUCAGAAGUGCGAAUGCUGACAUAAGUAACGAUAAAGCGGGUGAAAAGCCCGCUCGCCGGAAGACCAAGGGUUCCUGUCCAACGUUAAUCGGGGCAGGGUGAGUCGACCCCUAAGGCGAGGCCGAAAGGCGUAGUCGAUGGGAAACAGGUUAAUAUUCCUGUACUUGGUGUUACUGCGAAGGGGGGACGGAGAAGGCUAUGUUGGCCGGGCGACGGUUGUCCCGGUUUAAGCGUGUAGGCUGGUUUUCCAGGCAAAUCCGGAAAAUCAAGGCUGAGGCGUGAUGACGAGGCACUACGGUGCUGAAGCAACAAAUGCCCUGCUUCCAGGAAAAGCCUCUAAGCAUCAGGUAACAUCAAAUCGUACCCCAAACCGACACAGGUGGUCAGGUAGAGAAUACCAAGGCGCUUGAGAGAACUCGGGUGAAGGAACUAGGCAAAAUGGUGCCGUAACUUCGGGAGAAGG